AUUAUUUACACAUUACAUUAAAUCUGGCCCAUAUAAAAAUUGUAAUGAAUGUCCAUUAGCCCAGCUAAUUAUUCCGGGAAAGGGUUUGUUAUGUAACGUUCUAAUAAAAAACUAAAACAAUUUUUUUUUUGCUUCUUCUUAUCUCGAUCUGUCGCUGCCUCUCUCUCUCUCUCUUUCUUAACUCUUCGUGUUCUUCAAUCCUUCAAACACCCAACUCAAAACAGAAUCUGAACUACUUUGAUUUCAUGUUCACUCUCAAUCCGGAUUAAAUACAAUCGAUCUAUUGUAUUACAGGUUGAUGCAACAUAUAAAAUGGAGCUUUCUUUGAGACAUCAUCUCCACCAUGAUUCAUCUCCGCCAUGUAAUUGAUUCAGACAAAAAGCAGAUAAGUAAAAAAAUUUUAUGUUUGUUUGUUCUGUAAAAUCUCAUUUAUUAUCCUUCAGUCUCAAUUCAUUGUGUUUGUUUGUUCUGUAAAAUGUUUGAGAAUAAUUUAUAUGUUUUAUUUGAUUCAAUCCUUAAUACAAUAUCUUGUAAAUAAUUUAAUAACUCAAGAUAUAUGAACCAACUCUUACCAAUAAGGAUGUUCUCAUCAGGUUUGCCACUAAGUAUGGUUUCGAAAUCAACCAAAUCAAGAAAAUUAUUCUCAAUCCGUAGAGUUGACUCUGAGAUGUCUGUCUUGUGAAUAAAAUUCAUCUUCAAAGGAUUGUUUGUUGUGCGAUAGGUACGUCCAACACCAGUCAAACUGAAGUUGUCAAUGUUGAUCCACUCUCCAACAGGAACCUUGCUAGCCAAUUCAUCCAUAUAUAGGUCAAAAAAUAUACCAAUAUUGGCUGCACUCUCGAUUCAUUGAAGGUCGAUAUUGACCUCCUGCCCCAGUUAUUUUGACGGUGUCAACGACCUUCCAUUCACCAACAGUUUGAUCUACCAGGACGCACUCAAGAGUAUCACCAGAAAAACUGGUGCUUUGUUUCCACGAAUGAAGAAGUUUGAGGGUUAGGCGCCAUUCAUCUCGGUUGUCAGACUGGAGUUAGUGACUAUGGAACAUUGUGUGAUGGAAAUCUUGAAAUUAUGGCCCGAAAGUCUGUACAUCCCAAUUGCCGGGUAAACAGAAAAAUUCUCGAGGAACGUCCAUUGACCGACUUGCAAAUUCUUAACACGAGCAAGGAAGAUCUUCUUACAGGUACAAUACAUCUCGGUUCCCUACAAUAACAAAUAGUCAUAUGUUGGUUUAGUCGUUGGAUUCUGAAAAUUAUAGAAAACAAAUAGAUUAAAAGAAAGAAAUACCAUCCUAUCUUCAAGUAAGAAUUCGAAAGUGUCUUCUCCAGAAUAGUUUGAUUGUUGCAACCACGAACGAAGAACUUUUACUUCAACCUUCCAAGUAUUCUUAUAUGGUUUGAGAUUGUUCAACAUAGUGAUUUCGCUGUUUGUAACCAUAGCCAUAAUUUCUUUUUUUUCGGCCGCUCGGUGGAAUAAGAUAGGUUAUAAACUGAAGUGUAUGAUCUAGGUUAUAAGGAGUGAUUGCUUGUGGAGA